rnacentral:rRNA from 1 species
GAUGAACGCUGGCGGCGUGCCUAAUACAUGCAAGUCGAGCGAAUUGACAGAGGUGCUUGCACCUCUCGAUUUUAGCGGCGGAUGGGUGAGUAACACGUGGGUAACCUACCUAUAAGACUGGGAUAACUUCGGGAAACCGGAGCUAAUACCGGAUAAUAUUUAGCUUCGCAUGAAGCAAUAGUGAAAGACGGUUCUGCUGUCACUUAUAGAUGGACCUGCGGUGUAUUAGCUAGUUGGUGAGGUAACGGCUCACCAAGGCAACGAUACAUAGCCGACCUGAGAGGGUGAUCGGCCACACUGGGACUGAGACACGGCCCAGACUCCUACGGGAGGCAGCAGUAGGGAAUCUUCCGCAAUGGACGAAAGUCUGACGGAGCAACGCCGCGUGAGUGAAGAAGGUUUUCGGAUCGUAAAACUCUGUUGUAAGGGAAGAACAAGUACGUUAGUAACUGAACGUACCUUGACGGUACCUUACCAGAAAGCCACGGCUAACUACGUGCCAGCAGCCGCCGUAAGAC